UGAAAAAAACUUUUUUUCACACUGCUGUGACUGCCAGAAACUGAGUGGAUCCUCUUAUAAGAUCCACAGCUUACAGGAGGGUGUUACUGUGUACUGGUGUGAGUCUGGAUCAGGAGAGUUCAGUAAUGCAGUCAACAUCACUGUACGAGGCAUCGGAUCUGAAAUCGGUUCAUUUAUUGUUCCAUUCAUCAUCGGACUUGUUAGUGGAAUUAUCCUCGUGCUGCUGCUGCUGUGUUGCUGCAGAAAGAUAAAGGAUCUUUGUUGUAACAGUCUCACUCAGUCUCAGAGCACCAAUCAAAGCUCUGCUGCACAACAAAAUGCCAACAACGAUGAGAAUAACGUUUACUCCUCUCUUCUUUCUGAUGAUUUUCCAAUUUAUGAAACAGUCAGAUUCUCUGGAAACGCUGGAGGUGGUACAGUAUAACCUCUGAUAACAACAAGGCUAUAAGAGAUGUGAUGAUUAUAAACUGACUGAUCAGACCUGAUGUCAUGUUAUUAUUUAAGGUGGACCAGCAGAUGAACAUAGAAAUGUCACAUCUACUCUUGAGCUUAAAGUUAUUGAUGAGAAGACUGAGUUCAGAAAAUGUAAGGAUCCAUCCAUCCAUUCAUUUCCGCUUAUGCUUUUCAGGG